rnacentral:rRNA from 1 species
UACGUAGGUGACAAGCGUUGUCCGGAUUUACUGGGCGUAAAGAGCGCGCAGGCGGUCGAUCAAGUCGAGUGUGAAAGCCCCCGGCUCAACUGGGGAGGGUCAUUCGAUACUGAUCGACUCGAAGGCAGGAGAGGGUAGUGGAAUUCCCGGUGUAGUGGUGAAAUGCGCAGAUAUCGGGAGGAACACCAAUGGCGAAGGCAGCUCGCUGGGACGUUACUGACGCUGAGACGCGAAAGCGUGGGGAGCAAACAGG